rnacentral:rRNA from 1 species
UACCAGCGCCCCGAGUGGUCGGGACGAUUAUUGGGCCUAAAGCAUCCGUAGCCGGCCUUACAAGUCCUCCGUUAAAUCCAGCUGCUUAACAGAUGGGCUGCGGAGGAUACUAUAAGACUAGGAGGCAGGAGAGGCAAGCGGUACUCAGUGGGUAGGGGUAAAAUCCGUUGAUCCAUUGAAGACCACCAGUGGAAAGGCGGCUUGCCAGAAUGCGCUCGACGGUGAGGGAUGAAAGCUGGGGGAGCAAACCGG